CGUGCAUCCCACUCAUAUUCAUUGCCAUAAAUGAAGUGUAUUAUCUUAUCAACGUUUUCUUAAUAUGGGAAAAGAUCGAGAUUUCGUCGGAGAUAUAAAAUGAAUAAAAUAUUAUGAGUAUUUAUUAAGAUUACGUGGCUUAACAGCGACGAAGUUAUAUUGUACAUUGUGUCGAUAGCGAGCUGUACCAGUUGUCGUCUCAAAUUUCCGUAAUAUACUAUGCUUCAUAUCGAUUGAAAUAUUGGUGUUUAUACCGCCUGUGCUAGUGAAAUACUUCAAAUUUAUGGCGACAACGGUGAAUGUUAAGUCGACUUUAUUUGAUGUCAUGGAUGAAAUCGAGAUUGAAAAUUACAACUCAGAUCUCGAGCUUGCUGCUGCUAUCGGCAAGAACUUAUUGGAGAGGAAUAAAGAACUGGAAUUAUUGCUUGGAUCCACUCAAGAUUAUGCCGAAGAGCAGGUCCAGAGGAGUCAAUAUUUAAAACUUCAGUUGGAGGAUGCUAGAGAAUUGAAUGAAACGCGCCUCAAGGUGAUGGAACAAAUUGAGAAAAAUAACGAAAAUCUGUCGCGAAGUCAUGCGAAACUUCAGCGCGAGACACAACUCAUACACGACGACAAACAAUUGUUGACUGAAAGUUUGAAUUCUUUAAUGGAAAAAUGUAACGAAUACAAAGCUGAAAUGGAACAAUUGAGGCACGAAAAUGCGAAACUGCAAAAACAGUUGUCCAUGUCGAGAACUCAAUCUGAAACUAUCUCUCGACAAGCAGCGACGAAGGAUGUUCCUGUACAAUGCAGUUCAAUUGAAAACAGCGUUCAAGAUUUGUCUGUUGUCAUAAAAACGAUGAAAUUUGAGCAAGAUAUCGAGAAGACGUUGCGCAAAGAUUUAGAAGAUGAAUUAUUACAAUUGAUAAUUGAAAAUCAAAGUUUGGAGCAUAAACUGCAAUCGUUUGCUCAUGGAAAUCGACUUUCUUCUGCUGAGCAAUCAAAACAUAUUGCAAGUUCUACAGUAGAAAGCCUUAAUACAACUAAGCCAGACUUCGAAGAAGACGAUGCAGAAUGUUUAGAUGAAAGUUUUGUAAUGGUUGAGGAAGAAGGUAUUAUUGAAAUGGAUAGCAAAUCCACGGAAAUUUCGUUUCUUGACGAGUUAGAUCAACAGUACAGAGAUCUUGUGACGAAGUACAAUGCUUUGGUUGAAAAAUGCAAAAACGAGGGUAUUCCCUAUGAGUCAAAAGAAAUGUGUACUGUACAGAGAGCAGUACAAACUUGCGAAGACGAGUCGGUAGGAACAAAUGUACAAGAAACCUGUGUGAACGUAAAUGAAGCUUGCAGUGAUGGAGAGAGUCUACCAAAAUAUAAAAAAAUCUUCGCUGAAAUUUAUGCGAAGAUCCGCGAAGGAAAGGAGUGUGAAUGAAGGUUUUAUUUAUGGGAAACUACCAAAAAUAAUGAAAAAUUUGGGGAUGUCUGGGAGGAGGGAUUUUCAAAUUGAGGAGAAUGUGAAAGAGGCUUGUGUUGUAUUGUCUUUGAUUUUUGGUGAUAGAGGCUGAAAAAUGUAACGCUUGGGGUUUUUUAAGGUUAGCUACAGUGAUGUGGGAAGAAUGUUGACAACCAAAACUUGCGGGGGAGGAGGAGAUACAAAUUACAACCAUAACGUGGGAUAGAUAUUGAUAAACAGGGAUACAGAUUUUUGAGCGCGAACGGAAAGCAGCAAGAAGUUGAAAAAAGUGCGUAAAAAUGUGUAUGAAAGAGAGAAAAUGAUAUUAUAACUGAAAAAUAAACAACUUCAUCAAAAGAAAGAAGAAUUUCUAUCAUAAGAACAAUAAAGAUAUUUAAAUUGUAAUAUAUAUGAAGAAAAAAAUUUUACUAUUGAGAAA